GAUGAACGCUGACAGAAUGCUUAACACAUGCAAGUCAACUUGAACUUCGGUUUGGGUGGCGGACGGGUGAGUAACGCGUAAAGAACUUGCCUCACAGUUAGGGACAACAUUUGGAAACGAAUGCUAAUACCUGAUAUUAUGAUUUUAGGGCAUCCUAGAAUUAUGAAAGCUAUAUGCGCUGUGAGAGAGCUUUGCGUCCCAUUAGCUAGUUGGAGAGGUAACGGCUCACCAAGGCGAUGAUGGGUAGCCGGCCUGAGAGGGUGAACGGCCACAAGGGGACUGAGACACGGCCCGUACUCCUACGGGAGGCAGCAGUGGGGAAUAUUGGACAAUGGACCAAGAGUCUGAUCCAGCAAUUCUGUGUGCACGAUGAAGUUUUUCGGAAUGUAAAGUGCUUUCAGUUGGGAAGAAAAAAAUGACGAUACCAACAGAAGAAGUGACGGCUAAAUACGUG
rnacentral:rRNA from 1 species